rnacentral:snoRNA from 1 species
AUGUUAACACCUUCUAACAAUCUCCUUAAACCUCUUUCAUGCUUCAAAAACAAUUUCAGUAUCUUUCUGGUAGAAGUUAUGAAUUUCUCUUCUAAACUU